CAUAAGAUAGUUUAAUUAAAAUAAUAGUUUUGGAUACUAUUGAUAAAGAUUUUUCUUUUUUUUUGA
rnacentral:tRNA from 1 species